AGCUCCAAUAGCGUAUAUUAAAGUUGCUGCAGUUAAAAAGCUCGUAGUUGCAUUUCCGAGGCAAGGGAUUAGUCCGACCUUUGGUGGGUAUUUAAUCCUCUUGCCUCGUCCUUGAGUGGUGCUUCUUGGUAUUAAGUUAUCGAGGAGAUAGCCGCUCAUCGUUUACUGUGAGAAAAUUAGAGUGUUCAAAGCAGGCUUAUGCCGUUGAAUAUAUUAGCAUGGAAUAAUAAGAUAGGGCCUCGGUACUAUUUUGUUGGUUUGAGAACCAAGGUAAUGAUGAAUAGGGACAGUUGGGGGUAUGCGUAUUCAGUUGUCAGAGGUGAAAUUCUUAGAUUUACGGAAGACGAACUACUGCGAAAGCAUUUACCAAGGAUGUUUUCA
rnacentral:rRNA from 1 species